rnacentral:rRNA from 1 species
GCGUAUAUUAAAGUUGUUGCAGUUAAAAGCUCGUAGUUGAAUUUCGGGGUCAGCAGGUUGGUCGUGCCACUGGUAUGUACUGGCUUCGCUGAUUCCUCCUUUCUGAAGAACUGUAAUGUCAUUAAUUUGGUGUUGCAGGGAAACAGGACUGUUACUUUGAAAAAAUUAGAGUGUUUAAAGCAGGCUAACGCUUGAAUACAUUAGCAUGGAAUAAUGAAAUAGGACAUUCAAACCUAUUUUGUUGGUUUCUAGGAUUGACGUAAUGAUUAAUAGGGAUAGUUGGGGGCAUUAGUAUUCAAUUGUCAGAGGUGAAAUUCUUGGAUUUAUUGAAGACUAACUACUGCGAAAGCAUUUGCCAAGGAUGUUUUCAUUAAUCAAGAACGAAAGUUAGGGGAUCGAAGACGAUCAGAUACCGUCGUAGUCUUAACCAUAAA